rnacentral:rRNA from 1 species
UGGCGGCAGGCCUAACACAUGCAAGUCGAACGCUGUAGCAAUACAGAGUGGCAGACGGGUGAGUAACGCGUGGGAACAUGCCCUUCGGUUCGGAAUAACUCAGGGAAACUUGAGCUAAUACCGGAUACGCCCUUAGGGGGAAAGAUUUAUGCCGAAGGAUUGGCCCGCGUCCGAUUAGCUAGUUGGUGAGGUAAUGGCUCACCAAGGCGACGAUCGGUAGCUGGUCUGAGAGGAUGAUCAGCCACACUGGGACUGAGACACGGCCCAGACUCCUACGGGAGGCAGCAGUGGGGAAUAUUGGACAAUGGGCGCAAGCCUGAUCCCAGCCAUGCCGCGUGAGUGAUGAAGGCCCUAGGGUUGUAAAGCUCUUUCGCCAGGGACGAUAAUGACGGUACCUGGAUAAGAAGCCCCGGCUAACUUCGUGCCAGCCGCCGC